GGCCGGCCCAAUGGUAGUAGGUUAUCAGAACUUACUAACAUUCUUGUCACAGGAGUUGGUAUACAACCCCCCACUGCUAAAUUUGACUGGCUAUUA
rnacentral:Y_RNA from 1 species